AGCAGCCGCGGUAAUUCCAGCUCCAAUAGCGUAUAUUAAAGUUGUUGCAGUUAAAAAGCUCGUAGUUGAGUUUCGGGGUCAGUAGAUUGGUCGUGCCACUGGUAUGUACUGGUCUCACUGGCUCCUCCUUCCUGAUGAACCGUAAUGCCAUUAAUUUGGUGUUGCGGGGAGACUGGACUGUUACUUUGAAAAAAUUAGAGUGUUUAAAGCAGGCUAACGCUUGAAUACAUUAGCAUGGAAUAAUGAAAUAGGACGUUCGAUCUUAUUUUGUUGGUUUCUAAGAUUGACGUAAUGAUUAAUAGGGAUAGUUGGGGGCAUUAGUAUUCAAUUGUCAGAGGUGAAAUUCUUGGAUUUAU
rnacentral:rRNA from 1 species